GACGAACGCUGGCGGCGUGCCUAACACAUGCAAGUAGAACGCUGAAGUGAGGAGUUUACUCUUCUCGGAUGAGUUGCGAACGGGUGAGUAAUGCGUAGGUAACCUGCCUUGUAGCGGGGGAUAACUAUUGGAAACGAUAGCAAAUACCGCAUAACAAUGGAUGACACAUGGCAUUUAUUUGAAAGGGGUAAUUGCUCCACUACAAGAUGGACCUGCGUUGUAUUAGCUAGUAGGCGAGGUAAUGGCUCACCUAGGCGGCGAUACAUAGCCGACCUGAGAGGGAGAUCGGCCACACUGGGACUUGGACACGGCCCCGGCUCCUGCGGGAAGGAGCAGUAGGGGAUCUGCGGAAAUGGGGGGAAACCUGACCGAGCACCGGCGCGUGAGAGGAAAAGGUUUUCGGAUCGGAAAGCUCUGUUGUGAGUGGAGAACGGGUGUGAGGGUGGAAAGUUCACUCUGUGACGUUACCUUACGAAGAAGGAACGGCUAACUACGUG
rnacentral:rRNA from 1 species